rnacentral:rRNA from 1 species
GAUGAACGCUGGCUACAGGCUUAACACAUGCAAGUCGAGGGGAAACGACGGGGAAGCUUGCUUCCCCGGGCGUCGACCGGCGCACGGGUGAGUAACGCGUAUCCAACCUGCCUCUGACUGAGGGAUAACCCGUCGAAAGUCGGCCUAAACCCCAAGGCCUCCUUCUCCGGGCUCCAACCAACAUUAAAGAAUUCAAUGGGCAGGGGUGGGGAUGCGUCUGAUUAACUUGGUGGCGGGGUAACGGCCCAACAAGGCGACGAUCAGUAGGGGUUCUGAGAGGAAGGUCCCCCACAUUGGAACUGAGACACGGUCCAAACGCCUACGGGAGGCAGCAGUGAGGAAUAUUGGUCAAUGGGCGAGAGCCUGAACCAGCCAAGUAGCGUGCAGGAUGACGGCCCUAUGGGUUGUAAACUGCUUUUAUGCGGGGAUAAAGUGAGGGACGUGUCCUUCAUUGCAGGUACCGCAUGAAUAAGGACCGGCUAAUUCCGUG